rnacentral:rRNA from 1 species
GAUGAACGCUGGCGGCGUGCCUAAUACAUGCAAGUCGAGCGAACAGACGAGGAGCUUGCUCCUCUGACGUUAGCGGCGGACGGGUGAGUAACACGUGGAUAACCUACCUAUAAGACUGGGAUAAGUUCGGGAAACCGGAGCUAAUACCGGAUAAUAUAUUGAACCUCAUGGUUCAAUAGUGAAAGACGGUUUUGCUGUCACUUAUAGAUGGAUCCGCGCCGCAUUAGCUAGUUGGUAAGGUAACGGCUUACCAAGGCAACGAUGCGUAGCCGACCUGAGAGGGUGACCGGCCACACUGGAACUGAGACACGGCCCAGACUCCUACGGGAGGCAGCAGUAGGGAAUCUUCCGCAAUGGGCGAAAGCCUGACGGAGCAACGCGGCGUGAGUGAUGAAGGUCUUCGGAUCGUAAAACUCUGUUAUUAGGGAAGAACAAAUGUGUAAGUAACUAUGCACGUCUUGACGGUACCUAAUCAGAAAGCCACGGCUAACUACGUG